GACGUAGGGCGCGAGCGUUGUCCGGAUUUAUUGGGCGUAAAGAGCUCGUAGGCGGCUUGUUGCGUCAGCUGUGAAAACCCGCAGCUCAACUGUGGGCUUGCAGCUGAUACGGGCAGGCUUGAGUUCGGUAGGGGAGACUGGAAUUCCUGGUGUAGCGGUGAAAUGCGCAGAUAUCAGGAGGAACACCGGUGGCGAAGGCGGGCAUUCUGGG
rnacentral:rRNA from 1 species